CGGAAGUCCAACUUGACCAAUGAUUUGAUCGGUUUGGGAUUUCGCAAACCGGGAAAAGUCAGGGAUGUUUAAAGCUAGCGUUGCCCAGAAGCUUAUGUUUGCGGUUAGAGAUGGGAAGAAGAGAGUCCAGAACUGUGCAGAGGUUAGCUUGGAUGACAAGGAAAGCAUGUGGCCGAACCCACCAGCUUUGACAUAAGACCAGGCAAGGAGACAAGAAGUGAGAGUGAUCAGAACAGGAGCUGCGUACUUUUCGAGCUUUCUGAUACCGUCCAUUCCUCUCCAGACGAUACAAAGCUGAGCCAACCAGAAGACAAUGAAACAAGAGAACUCAAGGGGAGAAGUGCCUAGCCAAGGUAGCGUAUGAGACAAAGUCGAGUUCUUGAUGUGAGCCGGUAAGAGCAAGAAGAUAGCUUCUCCUCCGAUCCAUGUCUCGAUACCAUACCACCCGCAGCCGACCAAUGCCCUGAGUAGUGUCGGGAUAUGGGCUCCACGGAUGCCGAAAGAUGAUCUAGCGAGGACGGGGAAAGAGAUUCCGUACAUGGUGCCAGGCUGUGCGGUGAGAACCAGCGGCACGAGGAGUAUAAGAUUGGCAGCAACCACUGUGGCUAUCCCUUGCCACCACGCCAUCCCUAAGUCCACUAAGCUUCCAGCCAGGUAGUAAGUAGGCACACCGACAACGAGACCGAUCCAUAAACUCGACAUAUCCAACCAAGAGAACGUUCUUUGGCUUGGUUUGGUCGGUUUCAAGUCGUCGUUCGUGAGGGUCGGGUCGAAUUGUGAUUCGUCGUAGCCAGAGUCACCGACUUCUGACCCUGUCAUCGCCGAGAGUCUUGGGCGGAUGACACCAGACCGACUCAAACCAAAGUGGUUCACGGACCGGCUAGAACUCAAGUUGUGUUCGCUCCAUCCACAGUGUUCUCUCCUCUGACAUGGUUAGCUUAAGUUUUUCGACCUCUUCUUCCAGUUCCCGAAUCCGAUCUUCAGAAGUCUUCUUCUCCAAGGUCACCUUCUCAAGCUUUGAAGCCAACCAUUCCACACUAAAACCAGCUUGUGUCACAUCAGACAACUCCAGGGAAGCUUUGCUCAAUUCAUCUUCUGUGAGAUCACUCAGAGGUUUGUGGUAAAGUCUCUUGAUGACGCUGAAUAGAAGGUUCAUGUAUCUUGUCCUGAGCACAUCGUCUUGCAAUUUAACAUUAGCUGAAGUAUUUGGGUAUGUCUGAAAAAUCCAGUUUGCUAACUUCACCUUUGAAGAAGCAAUGAUGAAGCCAUGUGCAGUUACCUUUCUUUGUCUCUGUAAUUGGUUCCCCAUCACUUGAGAAAUCGAUUGGUAAAAUUGUCAGGAAAAGUUUUACACUACUCGUUGCUUCAAGAUAGCUAUGUAACCAAAUAUUCUCUUUGUUAUAUAUUAAUGUAUACGCAUAUAUAGGUAGGAAAAAAAAUUUAAAUUAGUUUGCAAAUUCAAGAUAAAUUCGGAAUCAAAUUAGUGAAUUAUAUUAAUUUUUAAAAAUAAAUUUAGAAAUUUUUUUAAAAAACAAGAUAAUUAUAACUAACCAAAAACUUAAAACAAGAAUCUAAAUCGAAAUUGCAACAAGAAAUAAUGAGAAACUAAAUAACUAUAGCUUCUUCAACUUGGCCUCUUCGUAUUUCAGCAUAUCUUUGAGAUAGGAAACCAUCUGCUCCUGUUUUUUGACCUCUUCCUUGAGUUUUACAAUCCUUGCUUCACAAGCAUUCAAAGAAACAUCAUCAAACUUCGCCCUCAACCAUUCCACCUUAAAACCUGCUCGUUUCAAAUAAGACAAAUUAUCUGAAACAUGGCGUAGUUGAGCCUCAGAUAUAUCACACGACUUCUUGUAGGAAAGUGUCUCGAAGAUAUCAAGGAGAACGUUCAUGUCUUUCGUCCUAAGCGCUAGGUCUUGCGACUGAACAUGCACUGCAGUUUCCGGAUAAUGCGUAAAAAUCCACUUGGCUAUAGUCGUCUGUGAAGGAUCAAGGAUGAAGCCAUUAAUCACUUCUUUCUCAUGUCUAUGCAAGUGCUUCAUCAUAACUGUAGAAGAACUCGCUUCCUCUAAACUUCUCUCUUUGAAUUGAUAUGCUCCCCACGCAGUCAAUUUACAGAAGUUUUUUCUAAUUCGUGCUUCAUCAUGGCUCAUUAUUAACAAAACGUUAUAUUAUUCAGCAAAGUAUACGAAAAACAAAAACAAUUGAUAUGAACUAAAAAAUAGAAAAAAAAAACAAGAAUUCUUUAUUUUUUCUUUUUGUUCUGUGUGAUUUGCACAUAUGUGGAUUUAGAUUUGAUUUCUUGCGAAACGAAUUGAACGCCAAAUAUUUACAAAAGUGGCUGUGAAGAGGAGCUCUGUUUCGUUCUCAGACGAGACAUUAACAUCCAAUAGACAAAUCCUGCGAUAAUGAAGCUGAAAAACAAUGCAUUGUCGUACACAACCACGAACCCAUUUGAGAUCUUUGACAAACCUCCGACCUUGUGUAGAAAGCCAGGAACGACUGGGAUGAUUCCGGCGACCAAAGCCACCACAGCAGCCGCAUUAUAUCCCUUGGAAUAAUAAUAUUCUCCGGAGGCACUCAAAGAGUAUAAAUCUCCAAUGUUCAGUUUCAUCUUCUUGAUGAGGUAAUAAUCUGCAAGAACUAUACCACCAAUAGGACCAAGAAGCGCAGAGUAACCGAUGAGCCAUGUGUAGACAAAGCUCUCACUCGACUUGAGCAAUCUCCAAGGCUGACACACGAUUCCAAGAACCGCGGUCAACAAGGCUCCUCUUCCGAAUGUGAAAACCUUAGGGUUUAGGUUCACCAGGGCGUUUGCUGGUGCGACCACGUUUGCAGCUAUGUUUGUGGUGAUUGUGGCGAGAGAGAUUCCAAGGAUAGCGAGUAGAGUUGUGGCUAGGCCUCCGAUUUGACCGAGAAGCUGAAUGGGAUUGGAGAUGACUCUUCCGAAGAUGAUGCUUGUGGAGGACGUAACAGCUAAGCCAACGAACGUGAACAAACCCAUGAAAACCGGAAGUCCAACUUGACCAAUGAUUUGAUCGGUUUGGGAUUUCGCAAACCGGGAAAAGUCAGGGAUGUUUAAAGCUAGCGUUGCCCAGAAGCUUAUGUUUGCGGUUAGAGAUGGGAAGAAGAGAGUCCAGAACUGUGCAGAGGUUAGCUUGGAUGACAAGGAAAGCAUGUGGCCGAACCCACCAGCUUUGACAUAAGACCAGGCAAGGAGACAAGAAGUGAGAGUGAUCAGAACAGGAGCUGCGUACUUUUCGAGCUUUCUGAUACCGUCCAUUCCUCUCCAGACGAUACAAAGCUGAGCCAACCAGAAGACAAUGAAACAAGAGAACUCAAGGGGAGAAGUGCCUAGCCAAGGUAGCGUAUGAGACAAAGUCGAGUUCUUGAUGUGAGCCGGUAAGAGCAAGAAGAUAGCUUCUCCUCCGAUCCAUGUCUCGAUACCAUACCACCCGCAGCCGACCAAUGCCCUGAGUAGUGUCGGGAUAUGGGCUCCACGGAUGCCGAAAGAUGAUCUAGCGAGGACGGGGAAAGAGAUUCCGUACAUGGUGCCAGGCUGUGCGGUGAGAACCAGCGGCACGAGGAGUAUAAGAUUGGCAGCAACCACUGUGGCUAUCCCUUGCCACCACGCCAUCCCUAAGUCCACUAAGCUUCCAGCCAGGUAGUAAGUAGGCACACCGACAACGAGGCCUAUCCAUAAACUCGACAUAUCCAACCAAGAGAACGUUCUUUGGCUUGGUUUGGUCGGUUUCAAGUCGUCGUUCGUGAGGGUCGGGUCGAAUUGUGAUUCGUCGUAGCCAGAGUCACCGACUUCUGACCCUGUCAUCGCCGAGAGUCUUGGGCGGAUGACACCAGACCGACUCAAACCAAAGUGGUUCACGGACCGGCUAGAACUCAAGUUGUGUUCGCUCCAUCCACAGUGUUUGAGACUUCUAUGGUGUGCAUCAGACGGAGCUGUAUAUGAGACA
rnacentral:lncRNA from 1 species